CCUCUUCCCACAACUUCCCUGUGGGGUAUGACUGCUGUGACGGUUUUGUCACCUUGGCUAGGCUACUGUGCGCAGUGGUUUGGUCCACUGCUAGUCUAGAUAUUGCUGUGAAGUCAGGAGUUCGAGGCUACACUGGGCUAUGAUCGUGCCAUUGUGCUCCAGAGUGAGACCUGAUGAACAUAAUCAGUUGACUUUAAGUAAAAAUAUUACCCUUGAUAAUGUGGGUAGGCCUCACCUAGUCCGCUGAAGGCCUUAAGAGCAAACACCGAGGUUUCCUGAAGAAGAAACGAUAUUCCCUCAACUGUGGUAAGGGAAUCUUCUCUGAGUUUCCAGCCUGCUGGGCUGCCCUACAGAUUUUGGACUUACCAGCCCCCACAACCAUAUGAGCCAAUUCCUGAAAAUAAAGCUACAUCUCUAUCCAUUACCUCUUAUUGUCUCUGCUUCUCUGGAAAACCCUAAUACAACUGUCAUUCCUAUUUUACAGAUGGGGAAGCUGAGGCUGAGAGAAAUUUGAUCUCAUGGCCGGUGUCAUAUGCCACUCAGUGGCAGGGCCAGGACUAGAACCCAGGCCGCCUCUCUAGGACCAGCGUUCUGGACCACCCAGCUAAUGCUGGGAUCCAGGAGCCCAGGCCACUUCCCUAGUGCACCAUCCUUGAGAUGGGAAGAUUACCCACUGAUGUAACCACAGGUGUCCUUAUAAGAGGGAAGCAAAGGAGACGCUGGUCCAGAGGAGGAGGGGAGGUGAUGGAGUGGCAAGACGCGGAGAGAUGUGAGCCAAGGCGGGUGAUCUCCAGAAGCUAGGCAGGGCAAGGACUGGACUCUCUAUGAAGCCACUGGAAGGAACCAGCCCUGCUGAGGCCUUGCCUUUUUCAGGGAAUCUGAUUUUGGGCUUUGAGCCUCCAGAACUGUAAGAGAAUAAAUGUGUGUUGUUUAAGACCAUCAAGUUUGUGUUAAUUUGUUACAGCAGCUACAAGAAACUAAUACAGAUCCCUCCAGCUCCUCUGCAGAGAAUACGCUAAAUGUAGUCUCGGGAGGAAGCAGAAAGACCAGUCGGGAGGCUUUUCAACCAUCCCCCAGAAAG
rnacentral:lncRNA from 1 species